rnacentral:rRNA from 1 species
AACCUGGUUGAUCCUGCCAGUAGCUAUAUGCUGUGUCUCAAAGGUUAAGCCAUGCAUGUCUCAGUAUGAGUGCUUCUACGGCGAAACUGCGAAUGGCUCAUUAAAUCAGUUACGGUUUAUUUCGAUGACUUGUGACACGGAUAACUGGGGAAACUUACUUGCACCCAAUACGUGCUUGCUAAGCCGACUUUGUGGAAGGUGAGUAUAUGCUCGAUUCUGAACCAUCCCAGAUCUUCUGGGCUUUAAGUUGAGCGGAGAGUAAAUCUGUCACAAUCGCAUGGCACCGCGAUGCAGAUGCAUCAUUCAAGUUUCUGACCUAUCAGCUUCCGAUUGUAGGGUAUCUGGCUUACCAUGGCGAUGACGGGUAACAGCGAAUUUGGGUUCAGUUCUGGAGAGGGAGCCUGAGAAACGGCUACCACAUCUAAGGAAGGCAGCAGGCGCGUAACUUACCCAAUUCUGACACGGAGAGGUAGUGACAAGAAAUAACGAUACAGGGGCAUUCCAUGUCUUAG